CAGAUGGGGAUCACAAGGGGCACCAUAUUACAAAUUGAAGCACUUUCUGAGAGCAUCAACAACAUGACAUACCUGCUCAGCCGAGAUGAGGCACAGAAGGAGCUGAGGCAGUCUCAGACAGCGCUGGUUUGAAGCAAGUUCAUGUGAUGCUGACCACUGAGGCCUGGCCGAAUAACACUGAAUCUACUUCGACAAGCUACUGCAAAAAGGAGCACUAUACAGUGUGGCUUGCAAAAAAAAAAUGAUAAAGAUAAUCCUGACCUGUGCAUGUUUACACCUCAAAUGCAAAGCCAAAAAUAAGUCAGACGCAUCAUAUUUUGCGUAAUGAGAAAAAAGUGACAUGUAUGGUGAAUACAGGUCAAUUGGUUGGAGACUGACCAAUGUGUGUGUGUGUGUAUUAUAUAUACAAAUAUAUAUAGUAUAUACACUAUAAUGAUAGAUGUUAUUUUUGAAAUUAUUGACCAAUCUUAAGUGUUGUCGCGUGCUAUCUUUGACAAUGCAAUAAUACGGAAGAGGAAGUGAAGAACCAAAA